GUAAUCAAUUUUACAGCAAAGCUGUUAAGGUGUAGUUCGCCGAGGAUCGUGUCCGUGUGUAGGCACAAAACCCCAUACGUGGGUCGAUACCGCUGAUAGUGCAAUACCGGGACGACCCGCGGCGGAGGUGACACGGGCGUUAAGCACUCGCAAUACGUGGGUCGAUCCCGCUGAUAGUGCAAUACCGGGCCGACCCGCGGCGGAGGUAACACAGGCGUUAAGCACUCGCAAUACGUGGGUCGAUCCUGCUGAUAGUGCAAUACCGGGCCGACCCGCGGCGGAGGUGACACGGGCGUUAAGCACUCGCAAUACGUGGGUCGAUCCCGCUGAUAGUGCAAUACCGGGCCGACCCGCGGCGGAGGUGACACGGGCGUUAAGCACUCGCAAUACGUGGGUCGAUCCCGCUGAUAGUGCAAUACCGGGCCGACCCGCGGCGGAGGUGACACGGGCGUUAAGCACUCGCAAUACGUGGGUCGAUCCCGCUGAUAGUGCAAUACCGGGCCGACCCGCGGCGGAGAUGACACAGGCGUUAAGCACUCGCAAUACGUGGGUCGAUCCCGCUGAUAGUGCAAUACCGGGCCGACCCGCGGCGGAGGUAACACAGGCGUUAAGCACUCGCAAUACGUGGGUCGAUCCCGCUGAUAGUGCAAUACCGGGCUGACCCGCGGCGGAGAUGACACAGGCGUUAAGCACU
rnacentral:lncRNA from 1 species